GACAGAGGGUGCAAACGUUGUUCGGAAUUACUGGGCGUAAAGCGCGUGUAGGCUGCUUGGAAAGUCGGGUGUGAAAGCCCUGAGCUCAACUCAGGAAGUGCACUCGAAACUUCCAAGCUCGAGUCCUGGAGAGGGUGGCGGAAUUCUCGGUGUAGAGGUGAAAUUCGUAGAUAUCGGGAAGAACACCCGUGGCGAAGGCGGCUCUCUGGGACGGUACUGACGCUGAGACGCGAAAGCGUGGGGAGCGAACAGG
rnacentral:rRNA from 1 species